UGGGGGAUAUUGCACAAUGGGCGAAAGCCUGAUGCAGCGACGCCGCGUGGGGGAUGAUGGCUUUCGGGUUGUAAACCUCUUUCGCUAUCGAACAAGGCCCGCUUAGGGUGGGUUGAGGGUAGGUGGAGAAGAAGCGCCGGCUAACUACGUGCCAGCAGCCGCGGUAAUACGUAGGGCGCGAGCGUUGUCCGGAAUUAUUGGGCGUAAAGGGCUUGUAGGCGGCUUGUUGCGCCUGCUGUGAAAACGCGGGGCUUAACUUCGCGCGUGCAGUGGGUACGGGCAGGCUUGAGUGUGGUAGGGGUGACUGGAAUUCCAGGUGUAGCGGUGGAAUGCGCAGAUAUCUGGAGGAACAACGAUGGCGAAGGAAGGUCACUGGGCCAUUACUGACGCUGAGGAGCGAAAGCAUGGGUAGCGAACAGG
rnacentral:rRNA from 1 species